rnacentral:lncRNA from 1 species
CUAGUUUAUCUCAUGUUUAAUAAAUUUCAGUAUCUCUUACGACGACAAUUAAUUCUACUACUGAAGUGACAUAAAAUGCCUGUUCAUCAUUGCGUAUUUGCGAAAAACGUCCUUUAAAAUACCCAAACGUAGAAAAUUCAUCUUGCAUUUGUCAUCUCUUUCUGCAGUUUUAUGCAUGUAGCCGUCCCCAACUAUACUAAUCGAAGCUGGUCUUCUUGCAGGUCAUUGCAGAAAGCUGAGCGUGAAUAGAUGUAUAUAUGCAUGUUUUUGAACUUCUUCUUAAUCGAAGAUUGUUGCAGCCUUGCAGGUCAUUACAGAAUGCUGAGAGCGUGAAUAGAUGUACAGAUGCAUGUUUACCGAUGCAUGUUUUUGAACAUUACAGAAUGCUGAGAGCGUGAAUAGAUGUACAGAUCCAUGUGAUUGUACCCAAUGAAGUGUUAAUGUGAAGUGUUAAUGUGAAAAACGGUUUCUGAUGGGCUGUGGGAAGUUGACUUAAACAUUAAUUGUUUCUUUCUAUGCAGAUAUUAGUUCAUAGUUUUGUUUGUGCUGUGGUUAUUGGUGAGUACUUGAGGUGCGGCACUUGGUACAAGAUACCACUGACACGUGACAUCCACGUUCUGUGUUCUUAGGGUUUUGCUUGCUGCAUCACCAUCACGUGUUUUGGCUUCUAAGCUAUUGAUCUAAUUCUAAUUGGAUAUCAAAUGAUGACUAAUUAUCUUCCAGCAGGAUUAUUAGUAACAAGUUAUACCAUAUAUACACACAAACACAACCACCCAAAUGUGAGCUCCCAUUGAUCGUUCAUCAUUCUUCCAAUGACAAAAUAAUAGGCUCGUCAAGAAGGAAAAUUUAAUGAAAAGUUGAUUAAUGUAAAGAGAAGUUAGAACGAAACAGGUCUGUUGUUGUAAGCAAGUUGUAAGGAUGGAUGAGAAAAUGGAUUAUAAUUAGGUUAGAUAAGCGAAAACCCAGCAUUAAAAAAAAAUAAAAAACAUGCACAUGAUUGUAUUUCAAACUAACUGAAACAAACAAGAUAUUGAAAACCUAGAAGAUACUAGCUGACAUCCUAAAUACUAAUAAAACAAAUAUGGGAAAUUUAAAUGAUCAAAACCAGAAAUCUCUACGAUUCAGGUAUUGACUGCCAUGUCUAGUAAAAAUUCCAGAAAUCUGAAAUCUACAAUUGACUUAAUUAUUUAUUUCAUCAAUGGUUGGAUUGGACCAUGAAAAGAGAGCAAGCUUUAAGAAACUUCAACUUGUAAACUGUACGAGUUCGAUAGAGUUGAGGCUUCCUGGAAUGCAUCUCCUUAACAUUCAUUUUCAUUUCACGAAGAACAUGAUCGAGGAGGGAUGUUACCAUUCCAGUUGUACAGAAAACAAUAACGUGAAAGGUACAACGUUAGGCCUUUUUCGUCCACAGAAAAAAAAAAAAAAAAACUAUAACAUGAAACCUUGUAAUCAGGUGAUUGCGAUCAGAAGCUGGUGGACUAUUUGAAAAUACAAUUCAUGUGGUUCAACAAGACACGACUGCUUAACCUGCACUCACAAGUAGAGAUGGAUUUCAUGACUCCAAUUGUCAUAUUUUAUGCUUCACGUAUUAUCAGAACCAUUUCAACCAUAUAUAAUAAAGUAAUUAAAAAGAUGUACACCAAAACUGUUUCACAUUAAGAGGCUGAACAGAGAUGUGAAAGCAAGAUUCAUAAUAAUUGCUAUAUUGGAAACUACACCAACUGGUCAAUGUUAUAUACCUUAUCAUGAGUUUCAACACAACCUUAACCCACUGUGUCAACAAAAUCAUGGUCCUUUUUCAAGACAAGCUGCGAUGUUCGGCGCACCUGCAUAUUCACAAUCAAGUAAAACUUGAAAAUUUUGGCUAUUUUUGAUAAAAACUUGAAAAUUUGCUUAAGGACCUAUGGAUUUAGUUUUAGAGAGAUUAGAAUUGAUUUCAGACUAUCUGGCAUUUAGUGUUGUUUGUAAAACAUGGAAUGGUGUAGCAAAGAAUAAUCGAAGCCAAAGUCGACACACAGCUCCAAUGCUCUUAGUUUCUAGUGACAAAGAAGAUACAUGGAACUUAUACAACGUCAUGAAUAAUAAGGUUCUUCAUUUACAAUUAAAACUUUCGAGUAAGCGAUUCUGUGGGUCUUCAAAAGGAUGGCUAAUAGCUUUGGAAGAGAACUUCGUCGUGACCUUAAUAAAUCCAUUCUCUGUAGUUGAAGGAUGUAAAGAGAAAGAAAAUUCAAUCAUUCGCCUUCCUUCACUAGCGCGUCUUUACGACUUUAGAGAAUUCGAUUAUCAUGUGUAUAAGGCUACAAUUUCAGCAGACCCAAUUUUAAAUGCACAUGAUUUUAUUGUUACGGUCAUAUACGGAUAUUUUUCUAAUUUCGCUGUUAUCAGACUUGGUAAAGACACAGAGUGGUCGUAUAUUAAUUUUAAUUUGGAGGAUGAUUACGAAUUCCGACGAUUUCAUGAAGUUGUUCACCUUGGAGAUAAAUUUUAUGCUCUAUAUAACGAUGAUAGAAUUUUAAGUCUUGAUGCUCGGGAUACAAUUGAACUUUCUGAAAUUAUAAGUGAAUUGGAAGUAAAGUGGGGAAGCUUGACACCUAUGGGAGAGUUUGGUUCACAAAGCCGCGCUAACAAGACAUAUAUUGUGGAUUCCAAUGAGAAAGGGUUUUUGAUCGUGAAAAGGUAUAAAAUUUGGAAAGGUAAUUGGCCAGAUGCGAAGGCUAUCACAUUUAAAUUUGAAAUUUUCGAACUAAAUUUUGAUAAGCACGAGUUGAUUGAGAAAGAAACCUUGGAUGAUGCUGCCCUUUUUUUGGGUGAUAAUUCUUCCAUGUUUGUUUUGGCUUCAAAAUUGUCAGGAUGUCAGCCUAAUUGCAUAUACUUCACCUCAGAUUAUCAACGUUCAUCUUGGGUACCUGAAGAUUUUGGCGUGUAUAACAUCAAAACUCAAAGCAUUUCAAAGCCUUACACGACAACUGCUAUGACCCUGUUGGGGAGGACUAAGCGACCAGAAAUUUGGGUUAUGCCAACUUGUCGACAGUGAAAAGCUCCUUUUGUGUCUUCUUGUUUUUAUUGUUAAUUUGUGACUUGAAUGUCUUUUUGGUUUUUGUUUUCUGUUUCAAACUAUUUUCUUUCGUUGAAGCUCCUUUGUGUGCUCUUGUAUUUGACGUAGUGUGCUCUUAAGUAUUUGCGAUAUAUUUUGUACAAUGAACACUUUUGCCAUGGCUGAAGGUUGAUAUAUACUCAUUUUAUAUAAUUAUUUCUUCCAUAUCAUACAUUUUCUAGACCACAAUUUCAUAUUUGAAUUAAUGUACAAGUCAAAAGUAUGGUAAUAUGCGUUGAGUUUUUAGGUUUUCUCAUUAUAUAUCAUCCUCAACUUGUCGAUCAGAACUUCAUGUUGUAAAUUAAAUAUGAUGGAUGAAAUAUUAAACAAUAUGAUUGGGUUUCCAAACAAAAAUUAAAAUUGGAAGUUUUAAGGCACAUUACUGGUUUGGUCUAGCUGCCCUCAAUCCCCACUAAAAUUAAACGUUUAUAAUUCCUGGAUAUUGACAGUAUUGGGUGUCGAAGAGGUGACCAUGAGGGGCGAGGGGGUUAGCUUACCACUAUGGUAAACUAAACUUAUUUUAAGAAAAUGUGAAUUCAUAUUGCACAAGAGGGUAUUUUGGUAAAUGUGGAUAACUAAGCGCCAAUUUAAAACCCAGAAUUUAAAAGUUCGGUUUUUUUCCUUGUCCACCCAUUUUAUACUGGAGGAGAUCGUCCCCCUUAUUUUUUAUUGAUAUAAAAUCACAUUCAGAGUCAGAGAGAUGCACAGAUAGCAAAGCAAGAAAGAUGCUCAUUCAAUCUCAGUGCUCCGUCCUCUCUCCCAUUCGCCUCACAAACCCUCACCGCAGUUUACCAAUCAUCUCCCGCCGUGCCCCUUUUAACGGUAAUACGAAUUUCAUUCUUUGGAAAUAUAUUUCUUUAAAUUCAGUGAAUAUUUUAUGAUAUUUUGUUUUCUUUCUCCAAAUUAAUUUAUUAUUGUUCAGCAUGUCGAAUGAAUGGAGCUGUUGUGAUCAGUACAUGGUUGGGGAGGAAAAAGAAUCGGGGAGUGACAGUUUCGGCUACGGAGGAGCAGAGCUCAAGCCUCAAUGUGCAGAAGAAAAGGUUCCAUUGCUCUUCCAACUUUUUUCAUUUUCUUUGAUGAAUAAAUUUAAGAGGCAGACUUAAAUAUAAGUUUACCCAAUUUGGGGUUUUGCAUUUUUACUUGUAUAAAUUUGAGAUUGGCUUUACCAUAUCUGAAAGUUGCAUUCUUUUGUAUUUUCUCUUUGGGGUAAUGCUGCAUUUUUGUAACACUUUAGCUAACCAUGUGACGUAGGCCGAUGGGUGUUACUUGUUACAUUAGUAACAUUUCUCUAAUUUCCAUUUUACUCAGAAAGGUUGUUGACCACAUAUGCCUACUGAAAGCAAAGGAGGAUUUAUCUGAUGAGGAAGAGAAGGAUAUGCUGGAUUUUCUUUAUACAACCCAGUAUCAAAUGCGAGGCAUUCUUUCGGUAUCAUUAGGUGAGCUUUACUUGUAUAAAAUCAAUAGUCAAAACAAUGCUGUCUCAAACUUUCGAAACUCAAAUACUUGUUUCAAUUUAAUCGUUUUUCUGUUGUCUGGUUUUCAUUAAAAUGUGGCCUUAUAUGUUCGAUCACAUUUGUAGGGCGUAUCUUGAAUGAAAAUAUCGACAAGUAUACACAUGCUGUCUACAUGCGUUUCCAGAGAAAAGAAGACAUUGGGAAGUUUUACGAGAACCCUUUCUACUUGCGAGUACUCAAUGAGCAUGUAUUGCCUUACUGCCAUGUAUGCCCUGACAUGUAAACACCGACACUCUGUGCUUUAGGCUUCCAUUUCUUUAGUUUCUGCCUUAUCAACUUUCCUUUGAAUAGUUUAGUAUUUUUUUCAACUUAUUGGUAAUGUAUAUAAACAGGGAUUGACUAAUGUGGAUUACGAAUCUGAAGUAGAAGACGAUAUCAUACCUAUAUUCCGCAAAGGAGAGGUUGGAAGCAACAUCCUUCCCAAUUUGGUUUUAUUGAUUGAAUAAAAUUAUUUCGAGUUCAGAUACUAGAUUCUUUGUCUAGUACACAGGAGUUCACGUACUUUAUAUCUCAUUUCUAAUUAUGGCAAUGAAGAUGCAUGCAUUCAAAAGAAUUUUAAGGCUUUUAAAACUGUACAUGACUUUGCUUAUUGGCAUUUAAGUUCUAAUUUUUCUGAACCACUUUGGUUGCAACCUAACUUUCUAAACUCUUUUGGUUCUAGACAUUUCCACGUGCUUUUUGUUUGUGAUUUCUUGGAUCUAAAAGUUCUUUCUCAAAAGGGAAGCUAAUUGCUCUUGCAAGCAGGAAUUCAACUUCGGUGUGGAGUUUGUGCUUCUUCUUUCCUUGGUUGAUAAUGCAUCUGGACCCGUGGAAGAGGCAUUGGUUUCUUUGGAAGGGCUUAUUAUGGGAUUUCCAUCCAUAAUAGUCCAAUCUACUCAAGGUUUGUUUGAGCUAAAAGCUGAUUAACUGCAAAACAAAGCAUAUUUCUCUUAGCUCUUGUUUCUGUUUGUACAAUAUUUAUUCUGAUGAUAUAGUAGAAACUCCAAUGUGUGGUAUGAAAUAAUUAUGUAUCAUAUCUUAUUAGUAUUUGAUUUUCAGGUCUGAAUUUUAAUCCCAGCAGCAAGGAGUUUACACAUGGAGUAGUGAUCAGAUUUCGGUCUCGUGAGUUCUUGUUUGCAUUAUGUAGAUUCACAUACAUGCUGCCUUUGUUUUGUUGACUGUCAUUCACUGGUAUAUUUUGUAGUUGACGCUUUUGAGAUAUUUGUGGGAAGCUCAGAGUACAAAGAAGUGAGUAGUUUGUUUCUAUUUCGAUCCUAUUUUUCCCCAUCAACUUCGGCAUGAACCUAAAUAGAAUGCAUUCUUAUCCAAAUCUUACUCUAAACCCAAAAAAGAAAAAGAAAAAAAUAUAGUUCUAAACAUCUAGAGUCCAUGAUGAAAACUUUUAAGUGUUCCCAAUCUUAUAUACCAGCUAGUAUAGAGUUUGAUUCUUGCCUAAUUUGAGGUGCAGACACAUUUUGGAAUUAUAGCUCUUAGAUUUGUCUCCAUUGCAGUCAACCGACAUUUCAUUAACAUUUGGAAAUUCUACGAAAUUGCAGAUAUGGAAGUCUAAGUUUGAUCAAAUCACUCGGAAAACACUUUCGCUUCAUUUUUCAGUUGAUCCAGUCGGCAGUGAGAUUAUGUAGCGAAAAUUCUUUGAUGUUUGUUUCCCCUAUUUGUCUAAACCACGAAAUCUAUGAAGAGUACUAAAUCUUAUAAUGUAUGAAUAGAGCAAUAUAUUUGGUUGGAAGCUCUGUCUAUCUUGUCUAAACGCAAAAGUGUGCAAUGUAUUGGUGUCAGGACCAUCUACCGUGCACUCAAUCCAUCUUGAAAAAUCCUCUGUUCAAAAUUCAAGCAAUCUAAUCAGUCCAAUCCUUAGAGUUCAUAAGAGGAAAAAGUGUUUACCAUACAGUAGGACUAGGAACUGUAUAUUUAUUCAUAAUAUUUCUGGUAUGAUUUCAAAUCAUCACCUGCAUUUAGAGGAAAAUUCUUUGUGAGGGAUCUAUAUCAUUCUGAUCAGUCAAACUUCCACAGCGCUGGGUUGCUUGUAACAUUAAUUGUCUAUGUGCUUUCUGGAUGAAUAAAAUAAACUAAUUUUAUAUACAUGGCAUUGGCAUAUGUACUUAAAAUUUUCUACCUUCCCAUUUGUUUUCUUCUAACAUGGAAGUUACAUCACAGAAUCCUUCCAAAUCUAUUGUUUGACCUCAUGUGGAAAAACAAACUAACACAUAAAUAUGCAAACAGAUUUUGAAUAUUUUAAGUUUCAACUAUUUUAUACUCCACAAGAGCCAAAACUGUGCCCCACCACCCAAGACAAAAUCAAUUAGAUGGUGUUUGCAUGUUGACUUGUUAUAUACAGCAUUACAGAUGCUUUAUAAGUACACACAUACUUCUAGUUUGCGAUGUAAUUAAGUUAGCUGAUCAUCUCUUGUACUUUGAAAACUUUUUCUGCAAGAACUUGCUUCUGACUUUUUUCUUUGAACUAUAAUAUUUAUUUAGUGAUAGAAUAAGAAAAGAUCAAGAUUAUUCAGAUCAGUAUAUUAUCUAUUUCUUCAACUAAGAUAUUCACCACAUAAUGCAGCCCCUCUUGAGAACAUGUUUACCAUUCAAUCAAAAACUAUUUACAGACUUACACUUUGUUCAUAGACUAGUGUUGCUCACAUUCUUUCCCAACUGGAUCUAUGAGACUAUGAGUACGAAAAAAAAAAAUGAUUUACACUAGAAACUGAGAAAAGUAUUUGUCUGACUGAAUAACACACUUAAUUGCAAGAGGGCUGAUCAGUUGUGAAGAGGGUUUGGUCCCUGUGGAACUUCUCGUAGAGAAACGCCUUUGAGGGGGCCGAUCUCAUCUCUGCUGCUGGAUACCUCUGGAGCUUCUGUGGAGAAAUGCCAUGAAAACCUGGAAUAGGAUUCAGAUUUAUCUGUUUGCUUGGAUUCUUUAGCUGUCACUCUGUGGAUGUGACGAUAACUUGAUAUCUGACUGAUCAUAAGCAUGAUCAUGAAGACCACACAUACGACUCUGAGAUGCUGAAUUCUCAUGAUUCUUGCGAUGAUAAAUUUCAGUAUUUCUUACAAAGAAAGAGGAAGCAAGUUAGGAAAACUAAGUAUGUUCUCUCAUUCCUCAAAUGCAAGCAGGCGUGAAGUCUUUUAAUAUGGGAUGGCAACCUAUGGGAAAGAUAGAGCCAAAACUCACAAUUAAUUCUACUGAAAUGACAUAAAUGCCCGAUCGUCGUUGCGUAUUUGCGAAACAUCCUUUAAAAUACCCAAAUUGCCCAAACUCAGAAAAAUCAUCUUGCAUUUGUCAUCUCUUUCUGCAGUUUUAUGCAUGCAGCUGUUGUUUCCAACUAUACUAAUCGAAGAUGGUUUGUGUUGCAGCCUUGCAGGUCAUUGCAGAAAGCUCUGAGAGUGUGAUUAUAUGUAAACAGAUGCCUGUUUUUGUACUUUUCUCUGAACUUAAUUCUUGUACAUUUGAAGGCUAAUCUGGUCUUUUAGUACCCAAUGAAGUGUUAAUGUGAAAAACGGUUUGUGAUGGGCUG